UGCUUGAGCCAAAUGCAUGCUGGGGAAGAUUUAGAAAAGGAAGACUUUGACAGCCGUAGACACAAGUACAUGGAUGAUGAUGGUCCGCUUUCUCCUAUUGAAGAGCCGUCAACUGAAGAUGAAGCAACAGAUCCUCAGUCUGAAUGUGAUAUUAAGUUGGUUGAAGACAGUUGCUUUAUAAUAAGUACAGAAUUCCCAAGGAAGAGAAACUUAGAACAAGAAAAGAUUAAGAAAGAAUCUGCAUUCUCUAAAAAGAGCAAAGCCAAGGAUGCCACACAGAGAGGGAACAGGAGGUCCUGGAAAGGAGGUGAACAUGCUUGCCUUCAUUCUGAAGUCAGUUAAAAGAUGCCCAUGAAUGGAUGUUUGUUUCAGUGUUAAGCACUGGCAUUUCCUUCAUAAAGAUUAGGAUUCUGAGUGUUAGGAAUGGACAUGAAAGACUCUACAGAGAUGUUGGGCGUCACAAGGGAAACCUACCUUAAAAUGGUUUUUAAAGCUAAUUGAAGAAGGGUCCCUAAAUUAAAGUAAAUUGAAGAAAUCCACAAAUCUUCUGGCUAAGAACUUAGAAGUUGCCAAUGACUGUUGGAAAAGACAGAUAAAAGAGGGCUAAAAAUAAAAAGCACAACUGGAUGCCCUUGAGGAAAGGGCUAUUUUCAGAGUGCCUGGAUGGACAGCAAAGAAAUCAAACCAACCACUUAAAUAAAAAUUUAUUGACAAUAAAUAAUUUUAUACAUUAAAAAAGAACCCUUAACACAAUUUGUA
rnacentral:lncRNA from 1 species